GAAAGGAGUGUCCCAUUGCAUUCUUUUUUCUUUGUUUUGUUUUUUUAAGGUUUCUCACAUGUUUUGAGGGGUGGGUUGGGAGAGGUAGAAGAGAGAGAUUGGAACGGCAUGGCAUUGGAGCCAGUAUUUGGUAAAGGGGGUGAAGAAGAGAGUUGGAUGCAUUAGUGGCAUGCUCCACUACUUCGACUUCCACCACCUUCUCUUCAUUGUUAGCAGUUGAACCGUGCCAACGGAGUCAUCACCUAGAGUCCAUCACCCCACUUCUCAGCUCAAUGCAUUCUUUUUCUUUUGUUUUAUUUUUUUAAGGUUCCUCACACAUUUUGAGGGGUGGGCUGGCAGAGAUUGGAAGGGAAUGGCAUUGGGGCUGGUAUUUGGUAAAAGGGGUGAAGGAGAGACUCGGAUGUAUGAGUAGCAUGUUCGACUUCCACCACCUUCUCUUCAUUGCCAGCAGUUGAACCGUGCCACCGGAGUCAUCACCUAGAGUCCACCACCCACUUAUCAACUCAAAGGUAAACAAAGAAAGGUGGUUCAAAAUUUUACUCAUGUUUUCUUUUCGUCAUGUUUUUUUCUUCAUAUUUUCACUUAGACCAGAUAGAAUCUAUGAAAUUUAAGCUAUUUGUCUAGAUAACACAAGGUCUUGUCUACUGUAAACUUUUUGCUUAGACCAAGAACUAUGGCCCAAUGCAAGGAAUAUCAGUUGAUGUUCUGGUUUGAAUGAGUUUGGAGGUUUCAAGGGAAUCGGACUGGCAUAGGGCAUAAAAUGAAGCUUACUGAUGAUUGACAAUGGUUUAUAGGGACUUGCAAAAUAUCUAACAUGAUGCAACUAUGCAAGGAAAAUGAUAAUGGAGAGAAUAUGGAUCGAGAUAAAUGAUCCAAUCAUGUAGAAUUCUAUAGAUGAUAGAUAUGGUGGAGUCAACUGUAAGAUGGAUAGAAGUCUUUGACUUUAGACAACAUUUCAGCAUGAAAGGUUAAUCCAAUAUGUCACAAUGUAUUGCCUCCUAAUUUCUAUAGAAGUUGCUGAACAAAUAAACUAGAUGUUGACUGGUAGGUUUCUAAGAGGAAAAGAAGAUCUUUCUAAAACAAGGUUUGAUUCUCAUUGUUUGAACAACGUUUUGGUUGAUAUGCACAUUAUUACAAGAGAACAGGCUGUGACUCAGAGCUUUAAAAUUAUGAUCACAUCAGUCACCUUGAAUAUAGUCUCAUAUCUUUCAUCAAGUUUGUGGGUGGAAAUGUCAUCAUCUAGCAUCUUUACUCAUUACUUGGUGGAUUUUACCUGGAUUUGCACGAAGUGUCUAUAAAAGAGAUCAUUCUUUCAUAACACCAGAAAGCCAUGUAUUCAGCUCUCUGCCAAAUUGGUUUUUCCAUUUUAUUUCUUCAACAAAGUUCUAUCUGAUAAUCAAAUCUAAACUCAAGUAACCAUCCUGAAUUUUCUCACUCAUUUCAUAGGAUUAAUACGUUGGGAGCAUUUUAUUGAUCAGUCCAGCAAUGGGUGCACAUUUUACAAUGUACCUGGCAAAGAUGCAAGGUAUGUUACAUUUAAUAACUUUUCAUUCUUUUUUUUUUGAGGAAAAUGCUACAUCACAAAAUUUGAAAUACAGAAGAUGCAUUUCACAAAUAUUGAAAUCACAAGUUAGUAUGACCGCUACAUGAUUACUACGAAGUGCCUGGGAAGAAGUUUAAAUUUGUAUCCACAUUCAACCAAAUGGAAUUGGCUGAAUGUCCUGCUACAAUUGAUUUUGCAGUGCCUCUUCUAUAUGAAAUUAGCUUUUUUUUUUAAAGUGUGAGCUUCCAAUUGAGCAUACCAGCAAAUUGCAACAUUCUGAUUGACCAAAUAUCCUGUUACAAUUUGUAAAUAGUUGACUGAAUAAGCCAUUAGUAUUUUUGUGGCACUCAUAUUUGUAUUUUUGCUAAAUGCUCAAAUAUCUUUGCAUCUGAGGUUUAGUGAUAUCUGAAGCUUUUUUCAUUCUUGAUGUUAGAGAUUUCUCUCUGAUCAACAACGGAAACUUAUGGUCACUCAUCAUACUUUAAAACUAAUACCUUUCUAAUUGAUGCUAUUUUCUAAUGCAGAGAAUUCAAAGUCAGGAUUACCUCUAAAAGAUGCUGAAAGGUGUACUUUCUUUUAUCUAUGUGCCGCUAUAAAAUAGUUAUUUCCACUACCUGUUAUAGUAUCCAACAUCUUGCUUUGUGUAAUGUCUACAUGAAGAGUUGAAAAUAUCUUCAUUGUCUUGCAUUUAUCAGCAAAAGCCAAUAAUAUAUUGUAAUUGUAGAUUUAAGUGUAAUAAAAGGGAGAAGGGAAAUGAUAAAAAUGGAUUAGAGAGAAAAAUGGUAAUCAGUAACAGCCAAUAAUAUAUUGGAAGUUUGGAACAGUAGUUUUAAGUGUAAUAAAUGGAGAAGGGGUAAUGCUAAACAUAGAUAAGAGAGCAAAAAAAAUCUCAAACGGAGGAACGGCAAAAUCGAGUUAUAGAACGUUUUUCN
rnacentral:lncRNA from 1 species